UACCCUGAACAAACCCCCAUCUGACUUCAGAAGCUAAGCAAGGAUGGACAUGAUUAGCACUUAGAGGGCAGACCACCAGAGAACACCAAUGACUUCCAGGUAC
rnacentral:rRNA from 1 species